rnacentral:rRNA from 1 species
UACGUAGGUGGCAAGCGUUGUCCGGAUUUACUGGGCGUAAAGAGCGCGCAGGCGGUCGAAUAAGUCGAAUGUGAAAGCCCCCGGCUCAACUGGGGAGGGUCAUUCGAUACUGCUCGACUUGAAGGCAGGAGAGGGUAGUGGAAUUCCCGGUGUAGUGGUGAAAUGCGUAGAUAUCUGGAGGAACACCGGUGGCGAAGGCGACAUCCUGGACCGGUAUUGACGCUGAGGCGCGAAAGCCAGGGGAGCAAACGGG